CAAAGAUGGAUAUUUACCCCUCUCUUGUUUAGCAGUUUAACAUUUUACUUUUUCUGCCCUUUGUUUAAGAAGCCGAAGAUGACAAAGGCUGCAAGAGACCGAGCCCUUUCCCAACUGAAAUCCUCGCUGCUGAGAAGAAAGCAAACAACCUCCACCCCCUUGACAAAUGAAGACGAUACAGACAUAGACACCAAUGUGGACUUAUUUGACCCACCUCAGGCUUCGGGAUCAACUGACCUCUCCCAAGGGGAAAGUGAAGAGGAGAGUGUCCUGAUGGAUCAGCCCAGAUCCAGUGUUGGCAUGCAACAGGAAGUGAUGGAUGCUCUGAAAGAAAUACCAGCCUUAGUCAAGUGUGUCAAAGAUCUUAUUGCAACCAUGAAGAGAAUGCCACCUGUCAUGGACACUGACAGUACAUGUUCUGGUUCUUCCAGUCCAGCUCCAGGAAUGAUUUCCCUUGGCAACAAGGGGGUGCAGGAAAACCAGGGCUUACUGGAACAGCGAAAGAGCAGCUAAAUCCGGAAAAGCUGAGUGCCCUUGUUGAUACAGUUAUUGCUGAAUUUCCAGGAACAAAUGUGUCUGAUGUGAGGGUGAUUCGGAGAAAGUGUAACAAUGAGAAUUUUGUGAGCAAAAAGAAACAGUAAGCAGUAAAUCAGUAACUGUUUGUAAUAAUUUCUUGUUUGUUUUUUCUUUGGUGGACAUACAUUUUGAGUUUAAACAAACUGUGAAUGUUUCACAUGUAAAAGUUUCAACAGUCAGUUUAAUGUUUAAUGUUUUUUAAUGUUUUCAAAAGUCAGUUUCAGUUUAAUGUUCAUCCCUGUCAUUACUAGCAAUGGUACGAUGAAGAGAAACAGUUUGAAAAUGUUGUUAAAGAUGUAUUUUGUACCCUGUCAUGCCGUGCAUGUUAAAAAUAAACUUUAUUUCUACCUCAAGUAUG
ensembl:lncRNA